GGGAGCUUAGAUGUGGAAGCUCUUUGGAAACCAAGAAACACUCUGCAAAUGAAAAGGGUGGAAGAGUAAACUGUUCCUGUUUCUCCAUCUUGACAGGAAGCAGAAGUUCUCCUUAGCUGAUUUUUCUUCUUGCCUUAUACUGGGUUCUUUAACACCAGAACAAAAAUAAAUAAAUAAAAGAAUCUUCCAGAAAUUCAUGAAGAGACUUCAGGUCAGGAAAGCCUGAACUUUCUCAUCCAACACCUGUUCAAGUCGGAGGAUGCUGAUUAAUUCAUGAUGGAAAGGUAUCAAUUUCACAGCCCAGACCUCUACAUUCUUGAAAUGCUCUUCUCAUGGGAGACAUUAAAUAAGCUUUGAAUUAACUGAGACCUCUGUGGAUUCUAUAACUCAAAGACCCAGGCUGACGGCUGGUGGAAUAGCUACCAUCUCAAACAUGGCGUGAUGCUGCAUCAGAGAGAAAAAUAAGCUCUUGCAUUGACAAUGAAAUGUCUACCCUGUAGUGACUUGUGCUUACUUCCACUCACAAGUGAUUGCCCAGAGCUACUUACCUGGCUCCAAUCUACCACUGGGUGUGUACUUGCAAUCUACCAUGUACCUAGAAGAUGAGAGAAACAAAUUAUUAAUGAUGACCACACCCCAAGACUAACAACAAGUUGCAGAAGAAUCAAUGACUUAAACAAAAAUGUGGCCAUUGAAGGAAUAGAAAAUAUAGUGAGUUUAGUGUAAAUUUAAAAGUGAUUUAUAAGUAACAUACAAAAUCCAGAAACUAUAAGAAAACAGAUUCACAAAUACAAAUAUAUAAAGCUUUAAAAAAGUUUAAUGUAACAAAAAU
rnacentral:antisense_RNA from 1 species